UGCCGCCCCUCCGGACCCGCCCGCCCGCCACCCUGGUCCUGUUGAGUAAGGAGGAUGAAGGCGAGGAUGACUCUGACGAAGUGAGCGUGAGGGACGUGGCAACGAUGGAGUGAGACCACUGCAGAAAGCAUAGAAAAAUACAAAAACAAACAAAAAAUACAAAAUACGUAAAAGAAGAAAAAAAAAAUGCCAGAGUAAAAAAAAAAUCUAAUACAAAAUAUUAGGUUUAGAUUCUUUAAAAAAAUGAAACCAAAUACAGAAUACUUAAAACAAUAGAAAAUGCAACAAAAAAAGUAAAAAAAAAUCAAAUAGAAAAUAUUAGGAUUAAGAUUCAUAAAAAAGUAAAACCGAUUACAAAAUACAUCAAAAACAAAAAAGCAAAAAAACAAAACAAAAAAUCAAAACCCAAUACAAAAUAUUAGGGUUAAGGUUCAACUUUAUUUGCGUCUAAAAGGAGCAACGGUUUCACCCGAACAGUCGUCAAUGUGAACACGUGUGCAAUAUUUUAUAUUUCCCAGAGAUGUCGUGUGAUAUGUUUAGGGGUAAUGUCGUGUGAUAUGUUUAGGGGUAAUGUCGUGUGAUAUGUUUAGGGGUAAUGUCGUGUGAUAUGUUUAGGGGUAAUGUCGUGUGAUAUGUUUAGUGGUAAUGUCGUGUGAUAUGUUUAGGGGUAAUGUCGUGUGAUAUGUUUAGGGGUAAUGUCGUGUGAUAUGUUUAGGGGUAAUGUCGUGUGAUAUGUUUAGGGGUAAUGUCGUGUGAUAUGUUUAGGGGUAAUGUCGUGUGAUAUGUUUAGGGGUAAUGUCGUGUGAUAUGUUUAGGGGUAAUGUCGUGUGAUAUGUUUAGGGGUAAUGUCGUGUGAUAUGUUUAGGGUUAAUGUCGUGUGAUAUGUUUAGGGGUAAUGUCGUGUGAUAUGUUUAGGGGUAAUGUCGUGUGAUAUGUUUAGGGGUAAUGUCGUGUGAUAUGUUUAGGGGUAAUGUCGUGUGAUAUGUUUAGGGGUAAUGUCGUGUGAUAUGUUUAGGGGUAAUGUCGUGUGAUAUGUUUAGAGGUAAUGUCGUGUGAUAUGUUUAGGGGUAAUGUCGUGUGAUAUGUUUAGGGGUAAUGUCGUGUGAUAUGUUUAUGGGUAAUGUCGUGUGAUAUGUUUAGGGGUAAUGUCGUGUGAUAUGUUUCUUGGUAAUGUCGUGUGAUAUGUUUCUUGGUAAUGUCGUGUGAUAUGUUUCUUGGUAAUGUCGUGUGAUAUGUUUAGGGGUAAUGUCGUGUGAUAUGUUUAGGGGUAAUGUCGUGUGAUAUGUUUAGGGGUAAUGUCGUGUGAUAUGUUUCUUGGUAAUGUCGUGUGAUAUGUUUCUGGGUAAUGUCGUGUGAUA